UACGUAGGGUGCAAGCGUUAAUCGGAAUUACUGGGCGUAAAGCGUGCGCAGGCGGUCUCUUAAGACAGGUGUGAAAUCCCCGAGCUUAACUUGGGAAUUGCGCUUGUUACUGGGAGGCUUGAGUGUGGCAGAGGGGGGUGGAAUUCCACGUGUAGCAGUGAAAUGCGUAGAGAUGUGGAGGAACACCGAUGGCGAAGGCAGCCCCCUGGGCUAACACUGACGCUCAGGCACGAAAGCGUGGGGAGCAAACAGG
rnacentral:misc_RNA from 1 species